AACGCUAGCUACAGGCUUAACACAUGCAAGUCGAGGGGCAGCGCAGUGUAGCAAUACAUGGGCGGCGACCGGCGCACGGGUGCGUAACGCGUAUCCAACCUUCCCGUUACUCAGGGAUAGCCUUCCGAAAGGGAGAUUAAUACCUGAUGGUGUUGAAAUUCCGCAUGUUAUUUCAACUAAAGAUUUAUCGGUAACGGAUGGGGAUGCGUGACAUUAGGUAGAUGGCGGGGUAACGGCCCACCAUGCCUACGAUGUCUAGGGGUUCUGAGAGGAAGGUCCCCCACACUGGAACUGAGACACGGUCCAGACUCCUACGGGAGGCAGCAGUGAGGAAUAUUGGUCAAUGGCCGGAAGGCUGAACCAGCCAAGUAGCGUGAAGGAUGAAGGUUCUAUGGAUUGUAAACUUCUUUUAUACGGGAAUAAAACGUCCCACGUGUGGGAUCUUGUAUGUACCGUAUGAAUAAGCAUCGGCUAACUCCGUGCCAGCAGCCGCGGUAAUACGGAGGAUGCGAGCGUUAUCCGGAUUUAUUGGGUUUAAAGGGUGCGUAGGCGGCAUAUCAAGUCAGCGGUUAAAUGUCGGGGCUCAACCUCGGCCUGCCGUUGAAACUGAUGAGCUAGAGAGGAUGAGAAGUAUGCGGAAUGCGUGGUGUAGCGGUGAAAUGCAUAGAUAUCACGAAGAACUCCGAUUG
rnacentral:rRNA from 1 species